rnacentral:rRNA from 1 species
UUUUAUUUGAGAGUUUGAUCCUGGCUCAGGAUGAACGCUGGCGGCGUGCCUAACACAUGCAAGUUGAGCGAUUUACUUCGGUAAAGAGCGGCGGACGGGUGAGUAACGCGUGGGUAACCUACCCUGUACACACGGAUAACAUACCGAAAGGUAUGCUAAUACGGGAUAAUAUAUUUGAGAGGCAUCUCUUAAAUAUCAAAGGUGAGCCAGUACAGGAUGGACCCGCGUCUGAUUAGCUAGUUGGUAAGGUAACGGCUUACCAAGGCGACGAUCAGUAGCCGACCUGAGAGGGUGAUCGGCCACAUUGGAACUGAGACACGGUCCAAACUCCUACGGGAGGCAGCAGUGGGGAAUAUUGCACAAUGGGCGAAAGCCUGAUGCAGCAACGCCGCGUGAGUGAUGAAGGCCUUCGGGUCGUAA